rnacentral:misc_RNA from 1 species
AAGGUGCGGAGACAAAAAAACCCGCCGCAGCGGGU